GUACGUUUUUUUAGGCGCCGAUUUAGGGGGGGUUCUUUUUGGGGGCUGUCAUCAGAGGAGGGGUCUCAUUUCUUUGGGUGCCGAAUUUAAGUGGUUUUAAUAUAAUACUGUGCAAGAGAUUCAUGAAGGUAAAUUCUUUAUAGGACCUAAUUCAAACGUCAUCUUCUUUGAAGUAGACUCAAAUGUCUUUGUUAAAGUCGUCGACGAAGUAGUCGUUUUCUAGAGACACAGGUAUUUGUUGUUUAUCUCUGUGCCACUCUUAAAUUAGCGAAAAGGAAGUUGGGGCUUGGAUUUGAGGGGAGGGGGGUGUUGGGUCUAGGGUUUGACAGAAUCGAGUACCAGUUUUAGGUGUAUAUUUAUUCUUCUGGUUUAGGAUCACGACAAUUUGGGCCUUUCGUUUUGAUUUGUAUUAAAAAAUUAUAGAAAUAAAGAAAAACACCAUUGUGGUUUCUUGCAUGUAGUGUAAGGAUGCGUGUAGUGUAAGGGAUGAUGAGAUCGAUUUCAUAGUCUAGACCGUCACUUUUCCUGCAUUCUUCUGGUUGAUUGACAUUCGAUAGUCCAAGUGGGCAUGUUGAUAGGAUAAAAAACUUCAUAAAUGAACAAAGUUUGACUGUGUUUACAACAUUGGCGACGAGCAAUUAAAAGGAACCUAUGGCAGCAUAAACAGAUUCCGGUGCCAACGUAAGCGAGAGGCGACGUCGAGAGCUACCCGAGAGGUCCCCAAAUCGUAAAUAUUUAUCACAAAUCGUGUAGAAGUUCUUGACAAGAAUCAUAUAAUGACAUGAUAUCUCAAUUUUAUUAUAACAUAUACUUGGUGCCUAUACAAGUAUCGCGAAAUCCCUGAACUGCUCAGACGUUAGAAAUACCACUUUUUCUGAAUAAAUACAAAUCACAGAGCAAUGAGAGUUUAUUGUGACCUUUCUUCUAGGAUAUAAGACAAUUACAGGAGGUGAUCAACCGUAAAAUAUUCGAGCUAGGUUUCAGGUCUUCAAAGGGUUUGUACAUGCAGCACAGGAUCAGGACUAUGAAGAAGACAAUGACAAAUAAUAAAGCAGUCUACUGGAAUGUAGCAGAGGGAAAGUAGAUUUGCAUUCUGGUGUAUGUGUUCCCAUAUGGUUGGUUGUCUCUCUGCAAAUUUGGUGACUUGGUCUUUGACUUGUUCAAAUGAGAAUCCAAGAAUCUCAACAGUUCUAUUCAAACAGUCUUCAGGAAGUUCCCUCAGACAUUCAACAGCAGUUGGACGUGUUGUUGUUAUAACUGUUGCUUCGCAUAGGAGUUUUCUAGACCAUAUCUCACGAAAAAGUAUAUGUGGAGCCAUUUUCCCAUCUGUGCUUCUUAAAUCCAAAUCUUCACUUUGAGAAAUAUUUGAUCUAGAUGAAAACUCAUCAACACCAUCUAAACACAAAAUGAGCUUGCUAGGGUUUGCAGUAAUGUAGUUUAAAAUGUAGCUUAUCUCAUUAUCAUCAAGUCCUUGUGUUGUAGUAGAAAGAGUCAAAAGGUCCCUGAUAUUGAUGUCAGUUCAUUAAAUACACCGGGGGGGAGGGAAGAUUUUAACUCACGAAACAGAGACUCCCCAUUCAUUGCAAACAUUUUUUUUCGGUGCCCCCCCCCCCCCCCCCCCUAUUUCAGAACCUCAAAAUUUUCAUUUUUUUAUUCAAAAUCCUCCUCCCCCCUCAAAAGUUACAUUUGUAUAUACUUUACUUAUCCGUAUUUGUUAAGAAUAUUUUUCCGUAUAAAAGGGAUAAUGUCCAACCUAUAAACCAUUAUAUGUAAAUCGUUUUGUGCAUUUGCAUGCUCCACCACUGUUUACGUUUAUUCCAUUUGUUACCAUCGGCAAACCUAACUGUUAGAUACUGAUAAGCUGGAAGUAUCUAUUUUAUGGUUUAUAUAUUUGUUUAAUAUUUAAUCUGUAUUUGUGCUACAAACUAGAUCAUAUCAGUAAAUUUAGUGUAUUUAAUUAAUAAAUUUAGUGUAUUUAAUGAGCACUCUCUUAUCUACGCUGUCGUUUACAAGGUCAAGAUUAAGGGCCCCCGAAUGGUCCCCCGAAAUUUCGAUGUGCUCGCAGUUUUCGGCUAAUGCUCGCAUGCUCCCGCAAUUUUUACUGCCGUGCUCGCAUGCUGGCGCAUUUUUUUUUUCCGCAUAAAAAUGCUCGGUCUCGCAAAAAAAACGGGGUGCUCGCAAGCCCGCAAGUGCUCGCAAAAGACCAUUCGGGGGCCGGAGAUUACCUACACCCCCCUCCCUAAGUUGGCGGAGUGCUUAUCACGCAAUAGCCUGAGGACAGGCGCUUCCUCUCCACAAUCUCCCUCUGCCACUCACUCCGAUUUUCUCUCGCCCACGCUAGGGGAGAUAUCCACAAUUAAGCAGGUCAAGUAGUUCAUAGGAAAUAUAUUUGAAGGUUACUACUGAUAAACAAGUGAACGCAAUGCGAGUAAAACAUUCAAUUGAUAAUCAAUCAGUUCCACUAUCUAAGUUGGGCUAAGUUGUACAGUAAGAUUGCAGCUAUAAGCUUACAAUUAUCACACAGUCCCCUAAGUAACCUGAUUUGAUCUUUCUCUGCCUCAUAAAAAUCAAUACGGUGAAUUGGCAUAUCCUCAGAUUUGCCUUUUCUAAGGGUCUGUUUACAUUACGAAUAUCAACCCUGGCUGAAGCUUUAGUAUGGCCAGGCGACUGAAAAUGUUUUUCAUAUUAGUAGCUAGCUUCAGCCUGUACUAAAUUCCCUUUUUAUUUAUUUCAGGCAGUGUCAAAUUUUGUUAUUCGAUGUCAAAGGUGCCAAGGUUAACAAAAUUGAACCAGAGAUUUUGUCAUCUUUAGCUCUAAGGCGGCACCAAGCAAAUAGUCCAGUUUUGAAUUCAACUGUGCCAUUGGAAUUAAGGACACAUAUAAAGACAGUGUGAGCCUAAGUUUCAGAUUAUUGGUUCACAAAUAACAUCGAGAUCAUGAAGAAUUCACAUGUUUUACAUUGUUUUAUUUCAAGCUCUAGGAGAUUUUCACUUGUAUGUUACACUUGACUUAUACUACCUUUGUCCAUCUAUUCAGCAGGCAUGAUGGAUUUCCAAAUUUGAUUACUGAAGCAACCUUUGUCACAUCAUAGCUUUUAAUGUUCUGUUGUAGUUAUGUAACUAUUUAUUUGCAUAAUCUUUCAAUAAAUCACAUGUUUCCUUGA